rnacentral:rRNA from 1 species
CCUACGGGGGGCAGCAGUGGGGAAUAUUGGACAAUGGGGGCAACCCUGAUCUAGCCAUGCCGCGUGUGUGAAGAAGGCCCUCGGGUUGUAAAGCACUUUCAGUGAGGAAGAACGCCUGGUGGUUAAUACCCAUCAGGAAAGACAUCACUCACAGAAGAAGCACCGGCUAACUCCGUGCCAGCAGCCGCGGUAAUACGGAGGGUGCGAGCGUUAAUCGGAAUUACUGGGCGUAAAGCGCGCGUAGGUGGCUUGAUAAGCCGGUUGUGAAAGCCCCGGGCUCAACCUGGGAACGGCAUCCGGAACUGUCAAGCUAGAGUGCAGGAGAGGAAGGUAGAAUUCCCGGUGUAGCGGUGAAAUGCGUAGAGAUCGGGAGGAAUACCAGUGGCGAAGGCGGCCUUCUGGACUGACACUGACACUGAGGUGCGAAAGCGUGGGUAGCAAACAGGAUUAGAUACCCCAGUAGUC